rnacentral:rRNA from 1 species
AUGAACGCUGGCGGCGUGCCUAAUACCUGCAAGUCGAGCGAACAGAUGAGGAGCUUGCUCCUCUGACGUUAGCGGCGGACGGGUGAGUAACACGUGGAUAACCUACCUAUAAGACUGGGAUAACUUCGGGAAACCGGAGCUAAUACCGGAUAAUAUAUUGAACCGCAUGGUUCAAUAGUGAAAGACGGUUUUGCUGUCACUUAUAGAUGGAUCCGCGCCGCAUUAGCUAGUUGGUAAGGUAACGGCUUACCAAGGCAACGAUGCGUAGCCGACCUGAGAGGGUGAUCGGCCACACUGGAACUGAGACACGGUCCAGACUCCUACGGGAGGCAGCAGUAGGGAAUCUUCCGCAAUGGGCGAAAUCCUGACGGAGCAACGCCGCGUGAGUGAUGAAGGUCUUCGGAUCGUAAAACUCUGUUAUUAGGGAAGAACAAAUGUGUAAGUAACUAUGCACGUCUUGACGGUACCUAAUCAGAAAGCCACGGCUAACUACGUG